CAUUAAGUAACUUAAAUGUAAAGUAUUAAUCUCUUAAAUUAAAUAUUGUUAAUUAACAAAUAACCUUAAUGA
rnacentral:tRNA from 1 species